UCCCAUGUGGUCUAGUGGUUAGGAUUCCUGGCUUUCACCCAGGUUCGAUUCCCGGCAUGGGAA
rnacentral:tRNA from 1 species